GACGGGGGGGGGCAAGUGUUCUUCGGAAUGACUGGGCGUAAAGGGCACGUAGGCGGUGAAUCGGGUUGAAAGUGAAAGUCGCCAAAAAAGUGGCGGAAUGCUCUCGAAACCAAUUCACUUGAGUGAGACAGAGGAGAGUGGAAUUUCGUGUGUAGGGGGUGAAAAUCCGUAGAUCUACGAAGGAACGCCAAAAAGCGAAGGCAGCUCUCUGGGUCC
rnacentral:rRNA from 1 species